rnacentral:lncRNA from 1 species
UUAAAAGUUAAGAGUUGAAACGAUCUUAGCAAUUGGAUGCAAUCCAACAGACAAGUAUGUCAUAUAGAAAAUCCGCUUUCCCUUUGGACUUUGAAUCAAGCAAUAAUCAGCAAGCAAUUAAUGAUAUGAAGAGCAAGGCAUCAAAUAAAGAUGACCACAUUCAAGCAAGCAAAUCCAUAGAUAACGGUCUUCUUUGUCUUCUCAUGUAUUAGAUGAAAUACUCCUUGAUUAACUCAGAAUAAAACAUUAGGCAUGAGAUCAAAAU